AUUAAAGUAAUCGAAUAACUUUUCAGAAUAAAUCGUUUUGUGACAUGAUACAUUUUCGAAAGAUAGUUGGCGUUCUUUUAGGUUACAUUGAGAUUGAAUUCUGCAAUAGAUCUUUCUACAAUUCUGAUCUGUUAAUUAUGAAUGUUAGAGAGGAUCAAGAGUUACGAUCUGCCCAGUAGAAACCAAAUUCGGAAGGUUUAAUAAUGUUCACUAUACUUUUACUCCUGGGCAGUGCUGCUGCUGUGGUACUAGUUUCAGCUAAACCAGGUUUUGAUCCGCAUAACAUGAAUAGCCUUGACAUGGGUUUCCAGUUUUCCUUUGCAAAUAUAAGAAUGAGAUAGGAUUCAGCGGGGUUGGAUCAGGGUUUUGCGGGGAUGAAACAAGGUUCUGCUAACUUCCUGGGCUUGAACAGGAUAUUGCGGGGCUCAUGGCCGAAUGCCCCUCCCUCCCUCCUCCUAGACUGUACAAAUACUAAGAUUCUGUUGUACCCUUAAACACCUCAACAUAAUUCCAAUUACAUCGUAUUUCUAAUGCGUAAACAACCGUUGUGACGGGUCCAGAAGUGCCGCCAUUUCAUCACUCUAUAAUUUACAGUUUAGGAAUGUUAAAGUAAACUUCACAAGCUAACUUUAAUAGAGUGGAAUGAAUUAUAUCAAAACAAUGAAGACGACAUUCGAUUUUAAUUUUGAUU